AUUGAACGCUGGCGGCAUGCUUUACACAUGCAAGUCGAACGGCAGCGCGGGGGCAACCCUGGCGGCGAGUGGCGAACGGGUGAGUAAUGCAUCGGAACGUAUCCUGUAAUGGGGGAUAACUAAUCGAAAGAUUAGCUAAUACCGCAUACGCUCGGGAGAGGAAAGUGGGGGAUCGCAAGACCUCACGUUAUAGGAGCGGCCGAUGUCUGAUUAGCUAGUUGGUGAGGUAAAGGCUCACCAAGGCGACGAUCAGUAGCUGGUCUUAGAGGAUGAUCAGCCACACUGGGACUGAGACACGGCCCAGACUCCUACGGGAGGCAGCAGUGGGGAAUUUUGGACAAUGGGGGUAACCCUGAUCCAGCCAUGCCGCGUGCGGGAAGAAGGCCUUCGGGUUGUGAACCGCUUUAGUCUAGGAAAAAGGAAUGCAGGAUUAAUACCCUUGUGUUUUGAUGGUACUGGAAGAAUAAGCACCGGCUAACUACGUGCCAGCCGCCGCCGUAA
rnacentral:rRNA from 1 species